GUACGGGAGGCAGCAGUGGGGAAUUUUGGACAAUGGGGGAAACCCUGAUCCAGCCAUGCCGCGUGAGUGAAGAAGGCCUUCGGGUUGUAAAGCUCUUUCAGCCGGAACGAAACGGUCACGGCUAAUACCUGUGACUACUGACGGUACCGGAAGAAGAAGCACCGGCUAACUACGUGCCAGCAGCCGCGGUAAUACGUAGGGUGCAAGCGUUAAUCGGAAUUACUGGGCGUAAAGCGUGCGCAGGCGGUUUUGUAAGUCAGAUGUGAAAUCCCCGGGCUUAACCUGGGAACUGCGUUUGAAACUACAAGGCUAGAGUGUGGCAGAGGGGGGUGGAAUUCCACGUGUAGCAGUGAAAUGCGUAGAGAUGUGGAGGAACACCGAUGGCGAAGGCAGCCCCCUGGGUUAACACUGACGCUCAGGCACGAAAGCGUGGGGAGCAAACAGGAUUAGAUACCCCGGU
rnacentral:rRNA from 1 species